CCUACGGGGGGCAGCAGUGGGGAAUAUUGGACAAUGGGGGCAACCCUGAUCCAGCCAUGCCGCGUGUGUGAAGAAGGCCCUCGGGUUGUAAAGCACUUUCAGUGAGGAAGAACGCCUGGUGGUUAAUACCCAUCAGGAAAGACAUCACUCACAGAAGAAGCACCGGCUAACUCCGUGCCAGCAGCCGCGGUAAUACGGAGGGUGCGAGCGUUAAUCGGAAUUACUGGGCGUAAAGCGCGCGUAGGUGGCUUGAUAAGCCGGUUGUGAAAGCCCCGGGCUCAACCUGGGAACGGCAUCCGGAACUGUCAAGCUAGAGUGCAGGAGAGGAAGGUAGAAUUCCCGGUGUAGCGGUGAAACGCGUAGAGAUCGGGAGGAAUACCAGUGGCGAAGGCGGCCUUCUGGACUGACACUGACACUGAGGUGCGAAAGCGUGGGUAGCAAACAGGAUUAGAUACCCCAGUAGUC
rnacentral:rRNA from 1 species